rnacentral:tRNA from 1 species
AGCUGUGGCUCAGUGGUAGGCACUUGCCUAGCACACAGGAGGCCCUGGGUUCAAACCCUAGCACUG